AGGCGUGGUUCCUUAGACCUGCAGCUCCCAGUGGUUUUAGUCUUGUGGAAGACAAUUUCUCCAGCAUGCCGAUCUCUCAACAUGAGGAGAGAGGCCACCUGGAGGCACCUGGGAUCAUAGCUCCCCGACCAGGGAUUGAACCUGCAACCCCUGCAACAGAAGGCAAAGUCUUAACCACUGGCCCACCAUGGAGGUCCCAAGACUUUGGUUUUUACUGAAGGAAGCCAUGGGAAAGAGCACCGUGGCUGCCAUUACUACAGUCAUUUAUGAAUCUAACCUCUGGGAAGUCUUGUCUAAAUUUCCUGAGCUAUUCUCUUCUCUAGAAGCCUCCCUCCCUUUCAGCCCUAAUCCAAUGUUUCUGUAAUUGUUUGUGUUGUUCUCUCACUAGAUUCUUUGAAGGACCAGGGAUGUAUUUUUUAACUUUAUUUUCCCAGUGGUAGAAAAAUGCAUUACCUGGCCUGCAGUACAUACACUCUUUGUUUGAAAGAAUGGCAGGAAGGAGAGCUGGUAUAGGGUGGGGAGGGACAAAUCAGGAGCUUGGAAUGAACACACAAUACUGUAUAUAAAACAGGUAACUAGCAAGGUCCUACUGUGUAGCAUGGGAAACUCUACUCAAUUUUCUGUGAUAACCUAUCUGAGAAGAGCAUCUGAGAAAG